rnacentral:tRNA from 1 species
UAUGAAUUGCCUGAUUAAAGGGGUAUCUUGAUAGGGUAAGUUAAAUGAUUUCAUAUUCAUAA